AAGCCUGACUGCUAUACUUGAUAGAAAGUUCUUCUAUGUAUUCACAGCUACUUUAUGUGCUCUUGUUCUGUGCCAACGUGGCUUUAGAUUAAGCUGUACAUCCUUUCAGUCUCUCUCUGCUGUGUGUAUAGACUUUGCUUUGCCCAAUCAGUCUCUUCCCUUCAUGUGAGCUCUUCAUAUGACAUAUCCUACGGGCUCUUACUUGCACUCCCAAUUAAGUUUCCUUGGCUAGAAACGAGCACAGAUCCACUGGGCACACCUCACCAGCAUCUUGCACAGCAGUGGCAAUGCAUACCCAUAACUACUAGAAAUGCCUUCAGCAUUGCAUUUGUCUUUUUCUGGUUGCCUCAGUGGAUGCUUACAAUUAUUACAUGAUUUACUGGUGAUCCUUUCUUCUUUUCUGUCUCUUAUUAUCAAAGAGGCUCCAAUUUACAGCUAAGAGGUUACAGCUAUGUAAGUCUUGAUUUUAGUUUGUGCACCAUCUUUUGCUGUUAUUGACAUCUUAAAGGCUAUCUCCUUUCUACUGCGUGACACUGUGAUCCAGCUUGAGAAUGUGCCUGUUUGUUUUUUCCCCUGUCAGCAGUAAAGGAGGAUGUCAAAAGGCUGUAUUGCCACUCACAGCAGCAGCAGGUGGAAACAGACAGCGCUGAUCCCAUUCCUUUGCAUCUCCUUUCCCCCCUCCCUCACACUGCACUAAGGGUCCUCAGGAUUUACAAGCCCAGCCAGCCAGGAGCAGUCAGAUGCAAGGAGAUGGUGGAGGAAAUAAUAAUUCAAGUGGAGUUUACUUAUGAGGACAUUUUAUGAAGUGUUGCCUUCAAGAAAAAAAAAAGAAAAAAUUCCAAGGAGCAAAAAACCAAUCAACCAAGCAACCGCCCAGUUACAUUGAAGUCGGGGCUGAAAAGUAAAAUCCAGUAACUUUUUUAGAACGUUUCCCAAAUCAGCUAAAAACUGCACUAUCACACAACGACAUUAACCUCCACUCCGGAAUGAGGUCCAUCUGAAACCCUGCUGCUCUCCAACGCUCGAUUCUGCGCUGCGGGAGCCGUGUUUGCCUUUGGGAUUUUGCACUCCCAGUCUACGCUUGUUCCACAGAGCACCGCGCCUACAGACAGCUCCGUUUCCUGCAGCUCUGCCUUUUGUCCCCCCUGUGCUGAAGCAUCUGUCGGGUCACCAGUUUGCUCCCCCCCCUUCUCACCCUCCCCUGCAGUCUCGCACCCUGCCAGCCUGCGCUCCUUCUGAUUCAUGGAUUGUAACAGCCUGAUGGGAACAAUUUAAUCGCGUAGUUUGGCUCCUCAAGAGCUGCCUCCUCUCGUUCCUGUGCCUGCUUUCCAGAUCCUGUUUGGGGACGUCCCAGCCCGGUUUUGGAGCAGCAGGAGAGUCCCGUUAUGUCCCAACGACGACUGCGCGCAGCGAAAGCCCGUGCCUCGUUUCCAGCUCCGUCAUCGGGAAGCUUCGCGUUUCCUGCGGGGUUAAAGAGCCCUCUGCUGUCAGAAACCCGGCUCCUAUCAAGCAAAGCCAGGCAGGCUCGGUGAGCCUGAGUUCAUUUUAUCUUCAGGCAUUUCAGUUGGCAGUGCACCUCCUGCGUACACAGACUUCACCUGCUUACUUCAAGCAGCUUCAAGCUUCUCAUAGCUCUUCUGAAGAUGGGAACAGGAAUAAAUAAAUGGUUGUGCACACACACCCUUCUCCUCAGUGCAACUCUUUGCAUGUCCUUUGUUUGAAUUAACAACCUAUAUCAGUAAUCAGUAAGCAAAUUUUCAUCAAACCAGGAUCUGAUGAAAACAACUAGCAUUUGCUGAAUGAAAAGCAGCAAAAACAGUAAAUCUAUUCCCGCUGAGAUACAGCUCUGUCCUUUCUCUCUUCCUUCACGUUCUUUCUUCUUCACAGUCCCUCAAGAUACUGAUUGAAACACACCUUUGUGCCCAGAUCAUUGGCAGCCUGGAGGAGUUGAGAAAACUUCAGCAGAACCCAGAGUAGCUGAAGAACCAUCUCCUGGGCCUAGAGGAGUAAAUGGAAUUUACCCUCUCCACUUCUUUAGGAAGCAACCUGCUGCUGCCUAAAGUCAGAGGUUAACAUAUUGAGGGAGGCGAUUGUCCCCUUCUGCUCUGCCUGCACAAGAACCCCACCUGCAGUGCUACUUUCAGCUCUCAGGCCCAUAACACAAACAAAACAUGGAGCUGCUAGGGCAGAGGUCCAGAGAAGAGCCACAAAAAUGCUGAGAGGCCUGGGGUACCUUUCCUAUGGAGACGGGUAGAGAGAAUCAGGAUUUUUCAGUCUGGAGAAGGUUCUUAUGGGAGUUCUUAAGGAACUUAUGAGGAAAAGGGGAGGAGACUUUACCAGAGCACGCAGUGACAGGACAAGUGGUAAUGGUCUAAAAAAAGAGUAGAAUUAAAUUAGAUAUUAAGUGUUUUACAGUAAGGGUGGUGAUGCACUAGAACACGCUGUCCAGAGAGACUGUGGAUGUCCCAUCCCCGGAGCUGUCCAAAGCCAUGAUGGAAGGGGCUUUGGGUAGCCUGUUCUAGUGAGAGGCAUCUCUGUCCAUGGCAGAGAGGUUGCAAGUGGAUGGUCUUUAAAAGGUCCUUCCAAAUCAAACUGUUGGGUUGGAAGGAACCUUCAGAGUGGUAGAGAGGAGCACCUCCUGUCCUGGUUUUAACUGAGCUAAUUUUCUUUACAGUGGCUGGUACAAUGCCGUGAUUUAGAUUUAGGAGAAAAACAAUGUUGAUAACACACCAAUGGCUUAUUUGUUGCUGAGCAGUGCUGCACAAAGCCAAGGGCAUUUCAGCUUCCCACACUACCCUGGCCAGCAAGGGGCUGGGGGUGCACAAGGAGCUGGGAGUGGACAUAAAGUUCAGCUGACCUAAACUGGCCAAAGGGAUACUCCACACCAUGUUGCUUCAUACUGAGCUGUAAAACUGGGAAGAAGUUGGCCAGGGACUGACUGGGCAUCAGUCAGUGAGUGGUGAGCAACUGCAUUGUAGAACUCCUGUUUCAUAAAUAAAUAAUGAUUUUUAUAUACAUAAG
ensembl:lncRNA